AAUUAAAAGACACUUACUCCUUGGAAGAAAAGUUAUGACCAACCUAGACAGCAUAUUAAAAAGCAGAGACAUUACUUUGCCAACAAAGGUCUGUCUAGUCAAGGCUAUGGUUUUUCCAGUGGUCGUGGAUGGAUGUGAGAGUUAGACUGUGAAGAAAGCUGAGCACCAAAGAAUUGAUGCUUUUGAACUGUGGUGUUGGAGGAGACUCUUGAGAGUCCCUUGGACUGCAAGGAGAUCCAACUAGUCCAUCCUAAAGGAAAUCAGUCCUGAAUGUUCAUUGGAAGGACAGAUGUUGAAGCUGAAACUCCAAUAUUUUGGCCACCUGAUGUGAAGAGCUGACUCAUUCGAAAAGACCCUGAUGCUGGGAAAGAUUGGGGGCAGGAGGAGAAGGGGACGACAGAGGAUGAGAUGGUUGGAUGGUAUCACCGACUCAAUGGACAUGAGUUUGAGUAACCUCCCUUGACUGGUUUUCUUUGUGUAACGUGGAGGGCAAGAUCCAGGAGAACCUGAAUUCACACGCAGGCAUCUCCUCCUACUGUGCCUGGUAUCACUUGUCUCCAGGGUGGAUGGUAAAUUGAACUGCGUUAUAAUUCAGACUCUCUAAGUCAUGUUUUUUUGUUGUUUCAUUUCUGUCCUAUGUCCUGCCUAGCUAAUCAUUUCAAAUCUAUCGAAAAUUUCCUCUGAAAAUUAACUUUGCAGUUCACACAGGUUCCCCUAGAGGACGCCAAAGGGCUACAUCUGAUGGAAGAUGAAGGCUGGAAAAGUCCUUUCUUGGCCAGUUUCAGGGUCUCGAGAUGAUAUUUCCUGGAUAAUUGGAGCUGACCCUAAAUCCAAUGACAGCAGUCCUUAUAAGAGAAAGGCAGAAGGAAAAUUCGGCUCAGACAAAAGAGGGAACACAGGGAAGAGAGCCCACAUGAGGACGGAAGCAGAGACUGGAGGAUGCACCCACAAGCCCAUGAACACCUGGAGCCACAGAAGCUGGAAGAGACAAGGAGGGAGUCUCCCCGGGGCCCUCCCUGGAGGGAGCGCCCCUCGAUCUUUGGACUGUUGGGCCCCAGAACCAUGAGCAAAUAAAUUUCUAUUGUUUCAAGCCAUCAACUUGUAGUAAUAAGUUACAACAAUCCUAGA
ensembl:lncRNA